GGUGGACCCUGAUUGCAGACUAAGGAACUUGGACUCUGUCCUGUAGAUACGCAAAGCCACAGGGGGUUUUGAAACAGGACAUUGAACUCAAAGCUGUAUCCAAGGAGGCAAGUACAAGCUCUGUGUGGAAGAGAGAGGGCUUGAGAACAUCUCAUUUAAAACGCCUCACCAGGAGAAUCCUGUGGCCUGGUGAGCUGGCAGGAAGGACACCGUAUUUUUAAGAUG
rnacentral:lncRNA from 1 species